CGGCAAACGUAGUCCCGAUAUCAAAGGGUGGACAUCCGAGACAAACACACAUUCCAAUCCAAUUCCAGCCUCGUGGUCUCCCAUGGCGCACCGAUGACGAUCACGCUUCGCCCUUUUGUGUGUGCAGCGAAAAUAUAGCCGGACGUCGAGAAUGGAGGACAUCUCAUUUGCAGACUUUUCUUGUGUUUAUUCGACUUUGAACGCCCGUCUCUACCGGAUGCUGGGCAGCAGCUACAUGGACGCCAAAAUCUUUGACAUAAAUGGUACCAGCAACGGACAGGAGGACGUCCGCAAAAAAAACUGCUAGGGUUUGGUAGCUGCCAUUGGUGGCAAUCUUGGAAAGCGAUUUAUCUAGAUUUUCGAGUCAUGAGUUGCCUAAGUAGCAAAUGAAUUAAACAUGUGUUUUUAUGUGCCAUUCUACAGGAGGAGGAGGGCUGUAAAAAGAUUGUUUUACAUCAUGGUGCCGACAUCGUCCAACAUACUUAUAUUUAUCGUUGUUCUAGUGUAGCACAUGAUAUUUUUAGCGUGCGAUAGGCAUAGAAAAUUAAUUCUCCAAUUUAAAUAUAAUAUACUGUUAUUAUACUUAUUAUGUUACCUCUGAUA